CCUGUCAAAACAGACCGCUGGGCUCUCUGUAAAAUGGACCAAUCAGCAGGAUGUAGGUGGGGCCAGAUAAGAGAAAAGCAGGCUUCCCGAGCCACCAGUGGCAACCCGUUCGGGUCCCCUUCCACACUGUGGAAGCUUUGUUCUUUCGCUCUUUGCAAUAAAUCUUGCUGCUGCUCACUCUUUAGGUCCACACUGCCUUUAUGAGCUGUAACACUCACUGCAAAGGUCUGCAGCUUCACUCCUGAAGCCAGCAAGACCAUGAACCCACGGGGAGGAAGGAACAACUCCAGACGCGCUGCCUUAAGAGCUGUAACACUCACUGCGAAGGUCUGCAGCUUCACUCCUAAGCCAGCGAGACCACGAACCCACCAGAAGGAAGAAACUCCGAACACAUGCGAACAUCAGAAGGAACAAACUCCGGACGCGCUGCCUUUAAGAACUGUAACGCUCACCGCGAGGGUCCGCGUCUUCAUUCUUGAAGUCGGUGAGACCGAGAACCCUCCAAUUGCAGACACAAUAUUACAUGAGAUGCCGUUUGAAGCUUUCACCUGGAGUUGGCACAUCUCUGAAACUCCAAACACAUAACAAUAAUAGGUAAAAUAUUUCAAGGAAAAUUUUAGAAGACAGAGCUAGGCUCAAAAACAAGAUGCAUCUUUGAGGAUCAGAAACAGAAUAAAAACUCCCAAGUGGUGAGCAGGGCUGAAGUCGCAGGCCUACUGGACCCUGCAUUUGAAGUCAGACAGGCUGCUGGCGGCUUGGAGCUACGAGUUCUCCACGUGAGGCUCACCAGGCACGGAUUGGGCUUACUGCACACUUCAGCGUAGGAGCACGUCGGUUCACCAUUAGAGUAACGGAUCUCAGGGGUCAAAGUUGUGGACUCAAUCGUAGAGGAAACCACUGGGCUCACCAAGAGAAUGAUCGUUUCCGGCCCCUUUCUACAUAACUUCAUGCAACACGGAGACUCCUGAAAGUUGUAGAUGAGUUGGAUUUCUGAAAAUCAAGUUGUUUCGUCUUUAUUGAAAUGUCCUAGCUUCAUUUGACUGGACUUGGGUCACUAAUAGGUUUCUUACACUUUGGCUUUGAGUUUCUUUGCCUAGAGGCCUGUAAGUCAAGAAAGUCUAGGAAACAAAAGGGGGCAUGAAAUAGUAACAUGGAAUGACUGAAAGGGUCAUUUUGCAGAUGGGGAAACCAAGGGGCUAAGUGACUGCCUAAGGCCACAGGUUACAGUGUAGACCUGAGCCCAGAACCUAGAUCCUGGGCCCAAGGCCACUGGUCUUUCCACUGUGGGGAAACCUUAGUGAGCCAGGGAAGUACAGUAUUUACAAGAACCUACCAUUGAACUAUCUGGGGGUGUGGGAAAUGGCUGUUUGCCUCCAUAUGAGGCUUUCUCAGCAUUCUUGUUUUACAGAGUACACCACCUCAUCUCCCCGCUUGGAGGUGCAUAUUGUCUACGGCACCCAUAACUGCAGGACUGGCAGCCUGGGAAGGGCCAUGCCGGGGGCUGAUGGAAGCCCUCACUCUGGCGCUCCCUUGCACCUCCCACCCACAUGAUGCAGAGGUCCGUUGUGCUCUAUCCCAGAAUCCAAACUGCACCCCGUGUCCCCGCCAGUCCAAGUACUAUCAGAUAUGUCAGCAGCAGGGAAAUGCCACUUCCAGGUUUCCAGCUGGGCCUGAGGGGCUUUGUGGAGUCAGUAGCAGAGGAGGCAGGGUGAGCAGAGCCGCUGGGCAGGCACAGCCCAGAAGCAGGGCCUGAUGUGCAGCUGGAAGUAGAGGGAUUGGCCCUGGAGUCUCCACUGGCUGGGCUGGGAAUGGUUCUAGACACUGGUCUCAGGCUGGACAGAUGCGUGUUUGUUCCCCAUGCUCCUGCGCAAGGGGCAGAGCUACAGUUGCUACUGAUGUACCAAGAGGCUGACUGUCCUCAGUGUGUCCACUCCAGGAGAGAACCAUGGCCUCAUGUGCUUGCAGCCCUGCCUGGCCACUCAGGGUGCUUUACGUUGCUGCAGUGCUCUUGGUUUCAUGCCACUGCCUUUGGGAGACAGCAGUGUCUGUGGAUACCUCUCUGGACCUGGAUACCCAGGUCAGUCAGCAGCUCCUGAAAAACCUGCACCUGAAAAAGUCCCAGCCCUGACCUCCAGACUGCUGCCAGUGGCUCUAGAAUCCUACCUUUCACAGCUGGACAUGGAAGCAAGAAGGGUGGUGGCACCAUAUUGGACUCCUGAGGAGAUGAGGAAGUGUGCACUCAAGUAACAGUGCUGUCUGAAAGACUUAGAGCAACAAGGUGGAUCUGACAAGCAGUUGACCAUGAACAAAGAAGUUUUGCAACCUCCUUGGACCCCUGAUGACAGCCAGAUGUCUGUGGCCUCCAGUCACCUCCAGACCUUCACCCCCUGCAUGGUCCCUCUUCCUCUAAUAUGAAAGAAGCCUAAAAAAAUCUAUCAAUCUAAGUUGGUUCUGGCUGGGCACGGUGGCUCAUGCCCGUAAUCCCAUCACUUUGGGAGGCUUAGGCAGGAGGAUCACGAGGUCAGGAGUUCGAGACCAGCCUGGCCAAGAGACCAGCCUGUGGUGAAACCCCAUCUCUACUAAAAAUACAAAAAUUAGCUGGGAGUGGUGGCGGGCACCUGUAAUCCCAGCUACUCGGGAGGCCUAGGCAGGAGAAUUGCUUGAACCCAGGAGGUGGAGGUUGCAGUGAGCUGAAGAUUGUGCCAUUGCACUUCAGCCUGGACAACAGAGUGAGACUCCGACUCACAAAAAAAAAAAAAAAUGUUCUUUAGGACAUUGGUCCUCCAUCUUCUCAGUUGGAAGCUCCCAGAAAUAAAGUCAUCUUCCUUACCCCAA